rnacentral:rRNA from 1 species
UCACGUGCUACAAUGGCAUAUACAAUGAGACGCAAUACCGCGAGGUGGAGCAAAUCUAUAAAAUAUGUCUUAGUUCGGAUUGUUCUCUGCAACUCGAGAGCAUGAAGCC